rnacentral:ncRNA from 2 species
GGUCAUGAGUUCCAGCGUCAAGCCCGGGCUUGCUGGACGACAACCCUCCUCCGCGGUGGGGUGCCCCCGGUGACGACCAGGUCCGGCGCGCAGGGCGUCGGGCAAGCGCGGGUC